UAGAAAAACGGAGCUGGGAUUUAGCAGGAUUUGAAGAAACUUCCUAAUUAUGCCAAGCAGAGAGCUGCCUGAGUAAAAUCUCAGCCAGAACCCCAGGUUUUUUAUUACUGGUUCUGUUUUAAGUGUAUCUCUAUAAUUUUCUGUGUUUCUGCUUUUGUUUAUAUCAUCAUAGUCAGCGGGACUGAGAGAUUAAAAACCGAAAUGUAUUAUCUUUGCACAUCCUCAAAACCUGUCGAGAAAGGAGGAGAAAUUAAACAAGGACAAAAACUCGCACUGAAGUGAAGCUGUUUCCUUUGAGCUGCCUUAUUAACCAGUCAAGUACUUGACUGCCACUGUCAGCGAGAUUUCUUUAGAGAAAGAGUGGCAUUUUGAAAAAUACAAAUUCACCGCCUGCACAAGUUAAUGAGGCCCUUCAGCAAUGUUCAUUGAUAGUGUAAAUUCAUCAUAAUACAGUGCUACAAACCAUAAAUGGGAUAUGCAUACAGGAAAUCAUCCACUAUUAGAAAUUUGCCAGACACGAAAAGAAAAAGAAGCCAUUGAUAAGCAGAAAACUCAUCUCAACUGCUCCGUGCUGAUGGGUGUGCAGCACAUUAGUAAUGCCAGAUAGUGCCACGAUGAGAACUUAUUAAGGUGAAUUGAGGUAGCUCAUCAAGUGUAUUUGGUCGCCUUUGUUCGCGUUUUAUGGACUCUCUCAGCUGCCUCCCUUGCAUUUGCCAGUGUUGGGUUAGAUAAAGCUUGCUGUACAAGGACUACCAUCAACAUAAAGGGACAAAUGUCUCCAAAUACUUCGCUUUUCUGUGCACUCACAGACGUGCUUAUGCAUUUAAUCGAUUUUCAGUUGCAUUUGCAAGCGAUAGCUUUACAGACACCAAAUUAUCUUAAGGGCUAUAUAGUACACCAGGAGUGGACAGUAGUAAAAAUUGGCAACACCCCAGAAAAAAUAUAUUAUGGUGACUUCUGAUCUUUUAAAUAAUAACCGAGCAGUGCUAUUUUGCUGUCUGUAUCAAUCAAUAAAUCUCUCUACAGUGCAAUACAUUCGGUACUCCUACCCUUCUUGAAUAGUAUCAGUUUAAAAAUCUCUGGGACCAUUAGGCCAAUACUUUAGUGUGAUUUGUCUGUUGGCCGGUUUCCAUCAUCUUGCUUCAGGGAAUGAAUAAAAAAAGGAAUACCUUGCAUCGGGUCAUAAAAUGGUCAGCUUCUUGAUGAGAAGAGGUGUACAGACUUGUUAAAAUCUUGAAGACCGUGGCCCCUGAUGUGCAGGACACCACCAAAUUACAUAAAUGAGCUCUACAAAAUAAAGCAGACUGGUAUGAAAAGGCUUUGAAACAUCUGCAUUCAUCUCCCGUGGUCUCAAUUCCAAAUAUAUGGAGAUCUGAGGAAAGACUACAUUGGGUUAGCCUCUGAAAAGUGUCUGGAAAAGAGAGUCACUACCCCAACUCCCCACCACCCCGCCUCCCCGCUGUUGAAUGAAUCUGCUUGUUGCAGAGCCGCAGAUGACUGGGGAUCAACAAAGGAACAUCAACAGAGGAACUUGAGAAGAUGCAAAUUCUGGUAUCCCUCUUCCCACACUGUCUUUGGUUUCACACACGAAGACAAGAUCAAGGGCACGGACUCUGGUCUUCUCUCCCAGGGGAUCUGCUUUCCCUGUAGCCUUGCCGCAGAGGUCAGUUCAGAACUCAUCCCAAUCCAUGGAAACCCUGAAGACCAAGUCCCCUUCUCCCAGUGUCACCUGUUUCCCUCGGCUGACGUGUUUGUGUCAUCAGCUGUACAAGGCAUUGGGCAGAGUAGCAGAAGCCUAAGCAAACACGCCAUUCGCUUGUAAACAGGAAUAAUGAUGUUGACUGGAAGGCAGCCUAGCAAAGCCGGCUCCAUCAAAGGAAGGCUCCCACCACCUGUUGCUUAGGUGUUCCUGGCACACCACCUCUGCGGCUGGCACGCCGCUGCUGCUCCUCUCGCUCCGUAAAUCCAAUCAGUUAUACACACGGGGCAUCACGGAAAAGCUGUUCUGUCUAUUUUUCUAGUCAAACACAUGGGUUCUUCUUUCUGCCUCUCUUUGUCUCAGGCCUUGAACCGAAGCAGCAGCCCUGGUCUAGGGUUUUGGCUGGUGCAAUUUCAUUGACUUCAGUAAAAGGACAAGCUGCUGUGAGACCUCUGCGUACUUCAGUCUCUGUGUCAGCUUCUUCUCUAGGUCCUCAGCUUCCAAGACAGCAAGCAAUAUGAUUUUUAAACCUACUUAUGCCAUUUUAUAAACAUUAUUUAUCUUUUUUCUCUUCCCGCUAUAUUAAUUAUACAGUGUUAGAUCUCUUGAAAUGUAAAUACCCCAAAUGCCAAAAUUAGAGCACGGUAGUGAGAAUGUUGUAAGAGUGCUUUUUUGGAAAAGAAAGAAUAGAUUUUCACAAAUGAUUGUUGACCUUCUAGAAACUCUGUUCUGGUACUUUUCAGCAUGCUUUGAAGUGGAGCAAACGCUUUGCUAUUUGACCACCUCCUGGUAGGGUUUCCAUCCUCAGCGCUCGCUGGAGCAGGAGACCUGAUACACCAGAGCUGCAUACUCCAGUACAUCACUUUAAACCAAGCCUUUACCAUCUGCUUCAACCUCUAAUUACAAAUGCAAAAUAACACAAUUCACAAUUGCAUCAUAAAAAAGUAAAAUAUAAGUGAUUUAAAUGCAUGUGUGUGUUCCUUAUGCAAGGCAACAUUCAUCUGUUAUGUUUUACCAUCUUUUAGAAACAACUCCGGGGUGAAAUCCCUCUUUGUGGAGGGAAGAAAAAUGAUUUCA